GACGAACGCUGGCGGCGUGCUUAACACAUGCAAGUCGAACGGAAAGGCCCUGCUUUUGUGGGGUGCUCGAGUGGCGAACGGGUGAGUAACACGUGAGUAACCUGCCCUUGACUUUGGGAUAACUUCAGGAAACUGGGGCUAAUACCGGAUAGGAGCUCCUGCUGCAUGGUGGGGGUUGGAAAGUUUCGGCGGUUGGGGAUGGACUCGCGGCUUAUCAGCUUGUUGGUGGGGUAGUGGCUUACCAAGGCUUUGACGGGUAGCCGGCCUGAGAGGGUGACCGGCCACAUUGGGACUAAGGGACGGACCAGACGCGUACGUGAGGCAGCAGUGGGGAGUAUUGCGCAAUGGGCGGGAGCCUGAUGCGGCAGCGCCGCGUGCGGGAUGACGGCCUUCGGGUUAUGAACCGCUUUCGCCUGUGACGAAGCGUGAGUGACGGUAAUGGGUAAAGAAGCACCGGCUAACUACGUG
rnacentral:rRNA from 1 species